rnacentral:rRNA from 1 species
GAUGAACGCUGGCGGCAUGCCUUACACAUGCAAGUCGAACGGCAGCAUGGAGAGCUUGCUCUCUGAUGGCGAGUGGCGAACGGGUGAGUAAUGCAUCGGAACGUACCGUGUAAUGGGGGAUAACGUAGCGAAAGUUACGCUAAUACCGCAUACGACCUGAGGGUGAAAGCAGGGGAUCGCAAGACCUUGCGUUAUACGAGCGGCCGAUGUCAGAUUAGCUAGUUGGUGAGGUAAAGGCUCACCAAGGCGACGAUCUGUAGCGGGUCUGAGAGGAUGAUCCGCCACACUGGGACUGAGACACGGCCCAGACUCCUACGGGAGGCAGCAGUGGGGAAUUUUGGACAAUGGGGGCAACCCUGAUCCAGCCAUGCCGCGUGAGUGAAGAAGGCCUUCGGGUUGUAAAGCUCUUUCGGCCGGGAAGAAAUCGCACAGGCUAAUACUCUGUGUGGAUGACGGUACCGGCAUAAGAAGCACCGGCUAACUACGUGCCAGCAGCCGCGGUAA